GACGAACGCUGGCGGCGUGCUUAACACAUGCAAGCCGAACGGAAAGGCCCUGCUUUUGUGGGGUGCUCGAGUGGCGAACGGGUGAGUAACACGUGAGUAACCUGCCCUUGACUUUGGGAUAACUUCAGGAAACUGGGGCUAAUACCGGAUAGGAGCUCCUGCUGCAUGGUGGGGGUUGGAAAGUUUCGGCGGAUGGGGAUGGACUCGCGGCUUAUCAGCUUGUUGGUGGGGUAGUGGCUUACCAAGGCUUUGACGGGUAGCCGGCCUGAGAGGGUGACCGGCCACAUUGGGACUGAGAUACGGCCCAGACUCCUACGGGAGGCAGCAGUGGGGAAUAUUGCACAAUGGGCGGAAGCCUGAUGCAGCAACGCCGCGUGCGGGAUGACGGCCUUCGGGUUGUAAACCGCUUUCGCCUGUGACGAAGCGUGAGUGACGGUAAUGGGUAAAGAAGCACCGGCUAACUACGUG
rnacentral:rRNA from 1 species